rnacentral:lncRNA from 1 species
GUAUAUAUAUAUAUACACACACACAUAUAUACACAUAUAUAUAUGCAUAUAUAUACACACACACACAUAUAUAUAUACAUAUGUAUUUUUUUUAGGGCCACACCAGGAUAGGGGUCAAAUCAGAGCUACAGCUGCUGGCCUAUACCACAGCUACAGCAACAUGGGAUCUGAGCCACAUCUUUGACCUAUACCACAGCUCACAGCAACACCAGAUCCCUGACCCACUGAACAAGGACAGGGAUUGAAUUCCUGCCUCCUUGUGGAUAUUAGUCGGAUUCGUUUCUGCUGUGCCACAGUGGGAACUCCUGGGUUGUUUUUUUUGCUGUUGGGUUGUAUGAGUUGUCUGUAUAUUUUGGAGAUUAAACCUUUGUUGGUUGAAUCAUUUGCAAAGAUUUUCUCCCAUUCUGUGGGUUUUUUUCUUUUAAUGGUUUCCUUUGCUAUGCAGAAACCUUUUUGUUUAAUUAGGUCCCAUUGGUUUAUUUUUAUCUUUAUUGUCAUUAUUCUAGGAUGUAGAUCAAACAAGAUGUUGCUGUGAUUUAUGUCAAAGAGUGUUCUGCAGUGUUUUCCUCUAAGAUUUUUAUAGUAUUGGGCCUUACAUUUAAGUCUUUAAUCCAUUUUGAGUUUAUUUUUCCUUCUCUUACAUGUGGCUAUUCAGUUUUCCCAGCAAAACUUAUUGAAGGGAUUUUUUUUUUUUUUUUUGCUUUUCAAGCACACCUGUGGCAUCUACAAUAUAUUCUUGCCUCCUUUGUUAGAUUAGUUGACCAUAGGCUCUUGGGUUUAUUUCUGGUCCUUUCUAUCCUGUUCCAUUGAUCUAUAUUUCUGUUUUUGUGCCUGUACAAUACUGUUUUGAUGAUUGUAGUUUUGUAGUAGAGUCUGAAGUCAGAGAUCCUGAUUCCUCUAGUUCCGUAUUUUCUUUUCACUAUUGCUUUGGCUAUUCAAGGUCUUUUGUGUUUCCAUAUAAAUUUUAAAAUAUUUUGUCUAGUUCUGUAAAGAAUGUCAUUGGUAAUUUGAUAGGGAUUACAUUGAAUCUGUAGAUUGCUUUAGAUUGCAUUGUCAUUUUCACUAUAUUGAUUCUUCUAACCCAAGAGCAUGGUGUAUCUUUCCACCUAUUUAUGUCAUCUUUGAUUUCUUUCAUCAAUGUCUUAUAGUUUUCAGAGUACAGGUCUUUUUUCUCUUUAGGUAGGUGUAUUUCUAGGUAUUUUAUUCUUUUUGAUGUGAGGAGCCCCUGGUUUAACUGCUUGCCAGCAGAAAGCAGAAGAGCAGGAAGAUAGGACUAUCUCUCUCUGCCUUCCAUGUCUCAUUAUAUGGCAUAUAAUUGAAUAGAAUUUGCAUUCAGAUACUACCUUUAAGGAAAUGUGUUGAAAAUCAAUAUAAUCCAUCUAUUAACAGACUGAAAAGGGCAAAAUCACAUGAUGAUAAUAGAUGCAAAAAAGGCAUCUGACAAACUCUGACAUCCAUUUAUGAUUAAAAACUCAGAAAACUAGCAAUACAGGAGAAUUUCCUCAACUUCAUAAAGACUAUCUACUAAAAUCCUGCAGUGGCAUUAUACUUAAUGGUGAGAAACUCAAAGCUUUCCCACUAAGAUCAAGUACAAAGAUGCCCACUUCACUAUUCCUUUUCAACAUCAUACUGAUAGUCCUUGCUGGUGUAAUAAAGUAAGAAAAGAAGAUAAAAGGCAUACAAGUUGGAAUGAAAGACAAAACAAAAACAAAGCAACCAACCAAAUAAAAACCAUCCUGGAGCUAAUGAGUGACCAUAGCAAGGUUGCAAAAUACAAAGUUAGCAUACAAAAGUCAAUUAUUUUCCUAUAUACCAACAAUGGACAAGUGGGAUUUGAAAUUAAAGACAUAAUAUUUGUUAUCUUAUCACCAGCCAAAAUGAAAUAUUUAGGGAUAAACCUAACAAAAUAUGUAUAAGAUCUAUGUGACGGGAACUAUAAAACUAAUGAAUGAAAUCAAAGAAUAGCUAAAUAAAUGGAGAGAUAGUCCACGUUCAUUUAGAAGAAGAUUCAAUACUGUCAAAAAUCAAUUCUUGCUAAUUUACUUGCUCUAUAGAUUUAGUUAUUGUAGGAAUUUCGACAAACUGAUUUUUAUAGUUUAUAAGAAGUGGAGAAGCAAAAAACCCCAGAAUAGCAAACACAGUCUUGAAGAACAAAGUUGGAGUAUUGAUAAUACUUGACUUUAAUACUUGACAAUAAAGCUACAGUAAUGAGGACUGUGGUUUAAUGAAACCAAAGACUGAUGAAAGAAUAGACAAAUAGAUCAAAGAACUGGAAUAGAAAGUCUGGAAAAACACCCCCCAUAAUGUAGUCAACUGAUCUUUGACAAUGGAACAAAAGUAAUGCAAAAGAAGUAUGCGGGGUGUUUUUGUUUUCUAGCUGAAUGGGUAAGUUGAAAGAAUCCUGGAGGCAAUGAAACCAUUUCCACUAUAAUAGCCAAAUGCUAUGAAUAUUCUCAGCCUGUCUCGAAUAAGGCUUAAACCAAAGGAAGGGAUCUUUAGUAAUGGAACUUUACCCAUCAGUGAGAGAAAUUGUUUUUUCUCUUAGCGCUGGGAGGGCUUUUCAGAUCUUAACACAUAAAUGAUCCUUUACCAAUUUUACCUUUGUCUUUCUGGUACCUUAUGGUUAUGCAUGUCCAACAGAGAAUAAAGUCCUCAUUUACUCUUCCAUUUAUCACUACUUAGGAAUGUAUUAUAUUCUCAUAUGUAAUUUUAUAAUUGAGAUUAUCAACUAGGUUGUCCCGUCUCAGGCUCUCACUUUCUCCAUUCUGGUGAAACACAACUGUGAGUGCACAUAAUAGAAUGUGCAAGAGAGGCACAUUUGUGCUGCAUUCUGCGCUACAGGAGCUCUGUGAGGGUAAACACCCAGUCCCAGGCCAGAGCCACAGCCAUCCAAGAACUGGCAAAGAGCCCACAAGACACUGUCACCAGUUGCUGCCCUUCAGGAUGAAUCAAAGGACAAGAAAGAGGCUUUCAGUUGACCACUGUUGCACUCUUCUCUAUUAAAAGUCUUGCCAUUCUGCACACAGAAAUGUCAGAGCCCUGGACAGGGUCUCCACAUUUCUCUAGGCACUUUUUCCACCCUGCAUGCCGAAGACUGGAUGUUUGCCAUGAAACUGUGAAAUCUUUUACUUCUUCUUUCACCAAACAUCCCUGUUGUGAUCAAAUCUAUAGGUAAACAUUAUUGUUUUCUACCAUUCUAACAGCAAAUACAGGGAGCGAUUUCCCCCUUCUGAGGACCAAGAGAACGUAAUAAAUGAUUACAAGGCAAGCUCUAUGUUCUAAGAGACUUUUAGUGAUUCUUAAGACUCCCCCUCCCCCUUUACUAUCUCCCAAGAGGAGGUGGGGCUUGGGGAGGAGGCAUCUCAUCCAUGUUAGACUGGAUGUAUCAUGGAUCAAAUUCUCCUCUGCUAAUGGAGUCAGGGGAAGAAUGUUGAAGAAAGAACACCUGAUUUAAAUGAAAUAUUUUUAGAAUGGAAAUCAGUCUUUUUUGAAAUUAAAAAGUGAUCUGACCAAGGAUCCUCUCCUGAGUGUUAUUAUGGUUAGACUAGAGUUUACUGACAUGGAUUUCGGGCAAGGAUGACCUCCCCUUUUGAGAUCUCCUCCUUCUGCUGCCUCCUUCUUCACCUGAGGUCCAAUGUGAAUGAUGUUCUCGUGGGAAUUUUCUUUUGCGUUUUCCUUUUUUUUUUUUUUCCUUUUGUCUUUUUAGGGUUACACCCACAGCAUAUGGAAGUUCUCAAGCUAGGAGUCGAAUUAGAGCUGUAGCCAUUGGUCUGUGCCACAACCACAGCAAUGCCAGAUCUGAGCCAUGUCUGCUACCUAUACCACAGCUCACGGCAAUGCUAGAUUCCUGACUCACUGAGCGAGGCCAGGGAUUGAACCCUUGUCCUCGUGGAUACUAGUUGGGUUUGUUAACCACUGAGCUACGAUGGGAACUUCCUCAUGGGAAUUUUCAAAUGGCCUCAUCCUAAGCUGUUACUUGUCAUUUUAACAAAGUCCUGACCAAAGGCUUUAUCUCAGAAUAUCAGGCAGCUUGAAGGACAGUGGAGAAAUCCUCCUUUAGUGCUGUUAUAUUGACCUUUAUUAUAGAAACUUUGUAAUUAAUUGUUGCCAAAACAAUUGUAAAACAUGGAUUAUGUUAAUCAAUUAGUAUAAAUUAUAUGAGCUCAGUGAGCAUGAUGACUGUUCACAAAUCUGGCUAUAUGUGAAGGAAUAUGUUUCUGAGGAUGUUUGAAUCUUAUUGAAAGCAUGGUCUAGAAAUCCAGGAAAAGUUGACAUCUCCUAGUUUGUUCAGGUUGCUAGGAUAGAAUACCACAGACUAAGAGGCUUUUAAACAUUAGAAAUUUAUUUCUUACUGUUCUGGAGACUGGGGACUCCAAGAUUAAGGCACUGGCAGAUGUGGUGUCUGGUGAGAGCCUACUUGCUGGUAUAUAGAUGGCUGUCUUCUUACAUGGCAGGGGGACAAAGGUGCUCUCUAAGAUCUCUCAUAAGAUUAAGAGCACUAAUCCCAUUUGUGAGAGCUCUGCCCUCAUGUGUUAAUCACCUUCAAAAGGCUCCACUUCCAAAUACUAACACUUUGGGGAUUGGGUUUCAACCUGUGACUUUGGGAGGAACAUUCUACGCAUCUACAAUAGCAUAGAACUACUGAAAGAUAAGAACAAACCAGUUGGCCCACCUUGGGUCAUGCCUCAUGUCUCAAUGGAACUAUUAAUACCACUUCCUUGCACUCUCAGAAGGUUACCAGAGUGGACAGUGUCUUAGUUCAUUUGGGCUGCUGUGACAAAAUACCACAGACUGAGGAGCUUAUAAUCAACAAUAAUUGUCACAUUCCUGGAGUCAGAGAGUCUAAGAACAAGGUGCAGCAUGGUCAAGUAGGGGAUCGCUUCCUGGUUAAUAUAUGGUUGUCUUCUAGCUGUAUCCUCACAUGGUUGAAUACGCCAGGGAUCUCUCUGGAGCUUCUUUAUAAGACACUCAUUCCAUUCGUGAGGGCUCCAUUCUCAUGACUCAAGUAUCUCCCAAAGGCCCCACCUACUAAUAUCAUCACAUUGGGUAUUAGGAGUUCAUCAUAUGGUUGCAAACGUUUCUGACUGUAGGUAAUGUUGCCAGUCUAGGGUAUGUGGUCAGUCAGCAUAAACUCUGUGAUGGUAUCAUCACUGGAUCAGACCUACUGCUAUAUUUGGGGACCUAGUACUAUAGACAGGAGAAAUAGACUGCAUAGGAGGGGGAAAGAAGAAGGAAGACAGACCUCAUAACAAGAUAAAGCUGCUGAUAGGCCAACCCUUUCUUUAUUCUCUAGGCAGCAGAAUCCACUACCCUUCCGAUAACUGAAAUAAAUGUGUCAUAUAUGGGAAGUAUGUGAAAUGUUUGAAUGAGAAUGUGUCAUUUAUCAGGAUACAUACAUAUUUAACAUUCUUCAGCUUUUACUAGGUAAAAUUUCUUACCUGCUAGAAGUAUAAAAAUGAAUAAGAAAAUUCUGUCCACAGGGAAUAAUACUAGAUAGGCUUCAGUGUGUUUUCACAAGCUCUCCCCUCAGUCUUGGAGAAAUUUUCAUAAGCCCAAGUUACAGGAAAACUUUAUUCCUCAAGUCACUUCCCUUAAGGGACUCUACCACAUACUUCAAAAAGAUCUUGAACUCCUGAUAUAUUUCUAAAAGCAUAGAAUAUCAUGAUGAAAUGGAAGAAUUUUAGGCAAUCAUCUAGAACUUUCAAUUCAACAGAACUUUUAAUUUUCUGUCUGAUGCUAUAGCCACUAGCCUUAUACAGUUAUUUAAUGCUUGAUAUUGGCUAGGGCAAUUGAGCAACUGAUUUUUAAAUGUUACUGAAUUUAAAUAUAAAAUUGCCACAUUGCUACUAGGCACUGUUUUGAGCAGUACAGGUUCUAGACCUUUUUUUUUUGCUUCUCAACUAAAAUAGUCAUGUUCUUUGCUGAUUUUUAUUGUUUUCUCUUGGAUGUUUUAGCAUUGUGGGGAUAUAACCCAUGCCCUAAAUGGAAGUGGGUAAAUCACAGCAAUAACAAUUCGACAAUCUCCAUAUUUAAUGGGGAGAAAUGUAUUUAUUCAUUCAAUCAAAUGAGAUUUAGUGAGCAUAACUGUGUACUGGGCUCAGGGAUGGGAUAUGAUAUACAUGAACUUGCCCCCAGGGGACCAUAGGGCCUUAGGAUAAAAAAUUAAUCAGCUGGUAGUGGGUAUCAUUUAGUGUCCAUAUUGGAAUAUUUUUUUCUACUUUUCUUUCCUUUCCAAGAUACCAAAUCAGAUGUAUCAGAAGUUUUUGGAGAGUUCCCAUCAUGGCUCAGCAGUAACAAACCCAACUAGUAUCUAUGAGGACUCGGGAUUGAUCCCAGCCCUUGCUCAGUGGGUUAAGGAUCCAGUGUUGCCAUGAGCUGUGGUGUAGGUUGCAGACUCAACUUGGAUCCCGAGUUGCUCUGACUGUGGUAUAGGCCAGCAGCUGCUGCUCUGACUUGACCCCUAGCCUGGGAACUUCCGUAUGCCACAGGUGCAGCCCUAAAAGGAAAAAGAAAAAAAAAAAAAAA